rnacentral:rRNA from 1 species
CGGCAGCGCGGGUGCUUGCACCUGGCGGCGAGUGGCGAACGGGUGAGUAAUACAUCGGAACGUGCCCUAGAGUGGGGGAUAACUAGUCGAAAGAUUAGCUAAUACCGCAUACGAUCUACGGAUGAAAGUGGGGGACCGCAAGGCCUCAUGCUCCUGGAGCGGCCGAUGUCUGAUUAGCUAGUUGGUGGGGUAAUAGCCUACCAAGGCGACGAUCAGUAGCUGGUCUGAGAGGACGACCAGCCACACUGGGACUGAGACACGGCCCAGACUCCUACGGGAGGCAGCAGUGGGGAAUUUUGGACAAUGGGGGAAACCCUGAUCCAGCAAUGCCGCGUGUGUGAAGAAGGCCUUCGGGUUGUAAAGCACUUUUGUCAGGAACGAAACGGUGAGGGUUAAUACCUCUUGCUAAUGACGGUACCUGAAGAAUAAGCACCGGCUAACUACGUGCCAGCAGCCGCGGUAAUACGUAGGGUGCAAGCGUUAAUCGGAAUUACUGGGCGUAAAGCGUGCG